rnacentral:rRNA from 1 species
AGAGUUUGAUCAUGGCUCAGAGUGAGCGCUGGCGGUAGGCCUGGCACAUGCAAGUCGAACGGCAGCACAGUAAGAGCUUGCUCUUAUGGGUGGCGAGUGGCGGACGGGUGAGGAAUACAUCGGAAUCUGCCUUUUCGUGGGGGAUAACGUAGGGAAACUUACGCUAAUUCCGCCUAGGACCUUCGGGUGACCAUCAGGGGGCCUUCGGUCCCCGCCCUGAUACAUGAACCGAUGUAUGGCCAUGAUAGCGGAUGGGCUGGCCGUCCUUCUACG